ACAGCAGCAGCUGCAGAGCAGCAAUGGAAAGAGAAAGAAAAAGAGAAAGAGAAAGAAAGAAAGAAAAGGAAAUAAAGAGAGAUUAGAAUUUGAGGAAAGAGAUGAAAAUGAAAGAAGAGAGAGAGGAAGAAGGGAGAAAAGAAAGAAAGGAAAAGGAAGAAUGAAAUUGAAUGAAAUAGACAUUGUGAUUGGCGUAAUUCG
rnacentral:lncRNA from 1 species